rnacentral:lncRNA from 10 species
UUGCUCCCCUCACUGCAGCAGGAAGCCUAACUUGCGAACUGCAGGUGUGCUCCAGGUGGUCACUGGAUGCAAGGCAUUGACAGAUGGAUCCCAUCGAUACCCCCACUGCAAAACCAUAAAUGGUGAGAGAACUUUGGAUGUGGAACGUGGAGGAGGAGGAACACGAAGUGGGGAUCUCCACUUGGGGUGGUCAGCACUGCGGGUGCCCAGCAAAGUCACUGCCUGGUCCACAUCCCGGAGGGGUCUCUGCGCCUCAGUCGGCAUCGCAGCUGAUGGUGAAACUUUUGGUGUGGCAGAAGAGUGUCCACAAACUUCGGAAGAUCGCUGCUCAGAGUGAGGAAUGGAGUUGUGUUUUGAAUAAAAUAUCCACGCAUC